rnacentral:lncRNA from 1 species
UCAAAAAUCACUUCAGUUAGUCACCUAUUUUCUGCAUCACUUAGGCAUUUCUCGGAGGUUAAUGCAUAACCAUCAGCUGUGUUUAUCUGCUCGUUGAAGCUCAUCCAUUAAUAGAUGUGCUACUGAUGCGUAUCCCAUCCCCCGAGCUAAGUUUUGGUCCAAUCAAAGAGAAAAAACACACUUAUGGCCAAUAUAAUGAAACUUGGUAACUGCCAAAUGAUGUGAACUGAGCAUUUUUAUCAUUAAUGACAUGCAUAAGGAAAUGAUCAACUCAUACAAACCUCUGAAUAUUGCUAUCCCAGUUGGAACCAUCUUUCGCUUCCUUAGGCACAACGAACUGUCAAAGAAGAGAAAGUACU